rnacentral:lncRNA from 1 species
UAUACAUCACAUAUCCUGGAUCAAGUAAAAACUCUGGGGUUCCAACAAGCUACUGCUACAUCCAUUUCAUUAGGAAUUGAUGAUCUUUUAACAAUACCUUCUAAGGGAUGGCUAGUUCAAGAUGCUGAACAACAAAGUUUGAUUUUGGAAAAACACCAUCAGUAUGGAAAUGUACACGCGGUAGAAAAAUUACGUCAAUCCAUUGAAAUAUGGUAUGCUACAAGUGAAUAUUUGCGCCAAGAAAUGAAUCCGAAUUUUAGGAUGACUGACCCUUUUAAUCCAGUUCAUAUAAUGUCUUUCUCGGGAGCUCGAGGAAAUGCAUCUCAGGUACAUCAAUUAGUAGGUAUGAGAGGAUUAAUGUCGGAUCCUCAAGGACAAAUGAUUGAUUUACCUAUUCAAAGCAAUUUACGCGAAGGACUCUCUUUAACAGAAUACAUCAUUUCUUGCUACGGAGCCCGUAAAGGAGUUGUGGAUACUGCUGUACGAACAUCAGACGCUGGAUAUCUCACUCGCAGACUUGUUGAAGUAGUUCAACACAUUGUUGUACGUCGAACGGAUUGUGGCACCGCCCGGGGUAUUUCUGUGAGUCCUCGGAAUGGGAUAAUGCCGGAAAGGAUUUUUAGUCAAACAUUAAUUGGCCGUGUAUUAGCAGAUGAUAUAUACAUGGGUUCACGAUGUAUUGCCACUAGAAACCAAGCCAUUGGCAUUGGACUUGUAAAUCGAUUCAUAACCUUUCGGGCACAACCAAUCUCUAUUCGAACUCCCUUUACUUGUAGGAGUACAUCUUGGAUUUGUCGAUUAUGUUAUGGGCGUAGUCCUACUCAUGGCGACCUGGUUGAAUUGGGGGAAGCUGUAGGUAUUAUUGCAGGUCAAUCGAUUGGAGAACCGGGUACUCAAUUAACAUUACGAACUUUUCAUACCGGAGGAGUAUUCACGGGGGGUACUGCAGAACAUGUGCGAGCCCCAUCUAAUGGAAAAAUAAAAUUCAAUGAGGACUUGGUUCAUCCGACACGUACACGUCAUGGGCAUCCCGCCUUUCUAUGUUCUAUAGACUUGUAUGUAACUAUUGAGAGUGAAGAUAUUCUACAUAAUGUGAAUAUUCCACCCAAAAGUUUGCUUUUAGUUCAAAACGAUCAAUACGUAGAAUCAGAACAAGUAAUUGCUGAGAUUCGCGCAGGAAUAUCCACUUUGAAUUUUAAAGAGAAGGUUCGAAAACAUAUUUAUUCUGAUUCAGACGGAGAAAUGCACUGGAGUACCGAUGUCUAUCAUGCACCCGAAUUUACAUAUGGUAAUGUUCAUCUAUUACCAAAAACAAGUCAUUUAUGGAUAUUAUUAGGAGGGCCGUGCAGGUCCAGUCUAGUCUACCUUUCGAUCCACAAGGAUCAGGAUCAAAUGAAUGCGCAUUCUCUUUCUGGCAAGCGAAGAUAUACUUCUAACCUCUCAGUAACCAAUGAUCAGGCGAGGCAGAAAUUGUUUAGUUCGGAUUUUUAUGGUCAAAAAGAAGAUAGGAUUCCUGAUUAUUCAGACCUUAAUCGAAUCAUAUGUACUGGCCAGUAUAAUCUCGUAUAUUCGCCUAUUCUUCACGGGAAUUCUGCUUUAUUGUCAAAAAGGCGAAGAAAUAAAUUCAUCAUUCCACUACACUCGAUUCAAGAACUCGAGAAUGAACUAAUGCCCUGUUCAGGUAUCUCGAUUGAAAUCCCCGUAAAUGGUAUUUUCCGUCGAAAUAGUAUUCUUGCUUAUUUCGAUGAUCCUCGAUACAGAAGAAAGAGUUCGGGCAUUAUUAAAUAUGGGACUAUAGAAACGCAUUCAGUCAUCAAAAAAGAGGAUUUGAUUGAGUAUCGAGGAGUCAAGGAAUUUAGGCCAAAAUACCAAAUGAAAGUAGAUCGAUUUUUUUUCAUUCCUGAAGAGGUGCAUAUCUUGCCCGGAUCUUCUUCCCUAAUGGUACGGAACAAUAGUAUCGUUGGGGUCGAUACACAAAUCACCUUAAAUCUAAGAAGCCGAGUCGGUGGGUUGGUCCGGGUGGAGAGAAAAAAAAAACGAAUUGAACUGAAAAUCUUUUCUGGAGAUAUCCAUUUUCCUGGAGAGACGGAUAAGAUAUCCAGGCAUACCGGCGUUUUGAUACCACCAGGAACAGGAAAAAGAAAUUCCAAGGAAUACAAAAAAGUUCAAAAUUGGAUCUAUGUCCAACGAAUUACACCUAGUAAGAAAAGGUUUUUUGUUUUAGUUCGACCUGUCGUCACAUAUGAAAUAACGGACGGUAUAAAUUUAGGAACCCUUUUUCCACCGGAUCCAUUGCAGGAAAGGGAUAAUGUGCAACUUCGAAUUGUCAAUUAUAUCCUUUAUGGAAAUGGCAAACCGAUUCGAGGAAUUUCUGACACAAGUAUUCAAUUAGUUCGGACUUGUUUAGUAUUGAAUUGGAACCAAGACAAAAAAAGUUCUUCUUGCGAAGAAGCCCGUGCUUCUUUUGUUGAAAUAAGGACAAAUGGUUUGAUUCGACAUU